AGUAAUGCUUGGGAAUCUAGCUUAUGGAGGGGGAUAACUACGGGAAACUGUAGCUAAUACCGCGUAGAAUCGAGAGAUGAAAGUGUGGGACCUUCGGGCCACAUGCCAUAGGAUGAGCCCAAGUGGGAUUAGGUAGUUGGUGAGGUAAAGGCUCACCAAGCCGACGAUCUCUAGCUGGUCUGAGAGGAUGACCAGCCACACUGGGACUGAGACACGGUCCAG
rnacentral:rRNA from 1 species